CCUCGAGCCUGCUCAUUAGUAGCACGGGCAGCUCGCGCGCUGGAGGAGGGAGGCGGAAGGACAGCGCUGCGCCACCACUCGGAGGAGGGAGCGUGGUAGCUGCAGGCACGGGAGGGAGAGGAAAGAAAAGGAAGGACGGCUCCCAGACAGAGAGUGGGAGAAACCGGGGAGCAGCGGGAGCAGCAGGUCCGGGGGGAGCUGUUCCGCUGCGCUGCCCUCGUUAUUCACACGGACGCUGCGGAGCUUCCCAGGGCUGCUUCCCGGUCCCACUGGGUGGAGGCUGCCGUCUAAACCUGACUCCAGGUUUAAGAUGCAAUGGCCAGAAGACAUGAAAGUGUCACUAGAAGGAUGUGGACAUGGGCUCCGGGACUGUUGAUGAUGACUGUGGUGUUUUGGGGUCAUCAGGGGAAUGGACAAGGCCAAGGUAAGUGCAAGGAUGUUCUAAUU
rnacentral:lncRNA from 1 species